GAUGAACGCUGGCGGCGUGCUUAACACAUGCAAGUCGAACGGAAAGGCUCCUGCUUGCAGGGGUACUCGAGUGGCGAACGGGUGAGUAACACGUGGGUGAUCUGCCCUGCACUUCGGGAUAAGCCUGGGACACUGGGUCUAAUACCGGAUAGGACGAUGGUUUGGAUGCCAUUGUGGAAAGUUUUUCGGUGUGGGAUGGGCUCGCGGCCUAUCAGCUUGUUGGUGGGGUAAUGGCCUACCAAGGCGUCGACGGGUAGCCGGCCUGAGAGGGUGUACGGCCACACUGGGACUGAGAUACGGCCCAGACCACUAUGGUAGGCAGCAGUGGGGAAUAGUGCACAAUGGGCGGAAGCCUGAUGCAGCGACGCCGCGUGGGGGAUGACGUCCUUCGGGUUGUAAACUCCUUUCGCUAGGGACGAAGCGCAAGUGACGGUACCUGGAGAAGAAGCACCGGCUAACUACGUG
rnacentral:rRNA from 1 species